rnacentral:rRNA from 1 species
GUCUAAGUAUAAGCACUCAUACUGUGAAACUGCGAAUGGCUCAUUAAAUCAGUUAUCGUUUAUUUGAUAGUACCUUUACCUGGAUAACCGUGGUAAUUCUAGAGCUAAUACAUGCUAAAAAUCCCGACUUCGGAAGGGAUGUAUUUAUUAGAUAAAAAACCAAUGCCCUUCGGGGCUCCUUGGUGAUUCAUAAUAACUUAACGAAUCGCAUGGCCUUGCGCCGGCGAUGGUUCAUUCAAAUUUCUGCCCUAUCAACUUUCGAUGGUAGGAUAGUGGCCUACCAUGGUCUCAACGGGUAACGGGGAAUUAGGGUUCUAUUCCGGAGAGGGAGCCUGAGAAACGGCUACCACAUCCAAGGAAGGCAGCAGGCGCGCAAAUUACCCAAUCCCAAUUCGGGGAGGUAGUGACAAUAAAUACUGAUACAGGGCUCUUUUGGGUCUUGUAAUUGGAAUGAGUACAAUCUAAAUCCCUUAACGAGGAACAAUUGAGGCAGCU